AGCAGGUAUUUAAAAACAGCAACGGGCGAAGCAGACGCGUCUUCCUCUCGCUCCCGAGACGCCUUUCUCUCCUCUAAUGUCACUUUCGAAAAUCCGUUGUUUUCUUCACAGAAUGGACUUUUUAAGACGCUAAAAGAAAAUAGAUCAUGCAGGUUUGGAUCAACAUCAGGAGAAGUGAGUAUCCUGCGGAAUCAGAUGCAUCACUCUUGUGUAUGGUUUUCUAAAUUCAGGUCAGUGCCAAAACACAUCACAUUUACAGUCUUGCUGUCCAUAUUCAUGCAUUCACUCUUUCCUAGAGAUGAAUCUCCCAUCCAUGUGCUAAAUCCAAUAUCUGUCAAAUCUCACUUUCAUCCAUUACAUUUUGUAACAAUUGGCACAAUUGAGCAAAAAUGCAUAUGUUUCUCAAGUAAAAUUUAACGAAUUAAGGAAAGUUUUAAAGUAUUUUCUAUAAUAUUUAUUUUCUCCUGGAGAAAGUCUUAUUUGUUUUAUUUUGGCUUGAAUAAAAGCAGUUUUUAUUAUUAUUAAUAUAUAGGCCUACAUAUAUUAUACUGUUUUGAUGAUUUUUAUUUUGUUUAUUUUUAUUGUAUUUUGUCAGUUAUGAAGUAAAUAAAUUACAUUCUCCAAAUCCACUUUGUAACAACUAAGGAAUCAGUGAUAUGAUCUGGGAUGGGUUUCUGAAAACCCUCGUUAGCCAACUAAGGUCACAAGUUGUGUCGUUACAAACAAAGUUUGUUAAUUUCAUUUGUCACUUUCACAGUGCACUUUGAAAACAUUGAUGUCAUUUUGAAAACAGCCGUGGCUCAUGGUGAAAGCUAUAGGUAAACUAUUAUUUAAAAGCUGAAUUUAUGUUUAUGUUACAUUAUUUACGUCUCCAAAGCUUGUGAAAACAAACAAAAAAAAAAAAAAACAGCAUACGUUAAUACUUUUAAUUUAGAGUGGGUAAUUUAUUAACUAUUUGUACUGUAUAUGACGAGGGCCUGUUGGUUAGAACAUUUCUGCACUAGUUUACAUGUGUCAAAUUGUAAAAGUAGAUUUUUCCAAAAAA